rnacentral:lncRNA from 1 species
GUGUUUGGUCUGGACGUGCGAACGAGAGAAGGAACCAAGGGAACCAAAACCCUAAACAACCUAAAAUCAUCAAAUUGAAAGGGGGAUCGAGGGCUGAUUGAAUGCAUGAGUCUAGAUACCCUUUAAUCUAAGUGUAUUGAUCAUAAGGAACGUGUCAAGGAGAGCUCAAGCAUAGGAGGAUAACGGGUCAAGAUAAGGCAAGGUGACAAAUACACUUAUUGGAAUACUCAAGGUGAUGAAUGUCGGACUUUCGAAGUGUUGAUAUAAUAAUGAAACGGUUGAAUGUUGAAAGGAUAAUCGGACUGAAGUAACUUAUGCGGUAAAUCCUCAAUUUUGGCGACUUGGAGAAUCGGAGCGAGCGCGUGUUCGUGUUAUGCGAUACCAAACGCUUCCGCUAGUUUGUUCAAAUGUUUUUGACCCAAAAUUUGUUGUAUUGGUUUUUAGUAGUAUCUUGUUGAACGAAUUGUAGAAUUGUAUCUAGUUUGUUUAUGUUUAAAACAGGGGUAUGCUCGUUUUAUGGACGGGUCAUGCCCGAUUUUUUGUUAAAUUAUAGUUUGAUAAUAUCACAUUUAGGAAGGUGAAAUUUUGGGCGUA